GGGCGGAUGGUGGAAUUGGUAGACACGAUAGACUUAGGAUCUAUUGGGCGCAAGCCCGUGAGGGUUCGAGUCCCUCUCCGCCCA
rnacentral:tRNA from 1 species